UACGAAGGGGGCUAGCGUUGCUCGGAAUCACUGGGCGUAAAGGGUGCGUAGGCGGGUCUUUAAGUCAGGGGUGAAAUCCUGGAGCUUAACUCCAGAACUGCCUUUGAUACUGAAGAUCUUGAGUUCGGGAGAGGUGAGUGGAACUGCGAGUGUAGAGGUGAAAUUCGUAGAUAUUCGCAAGAACACCAGUGGCGAAGGCGGCUCACUGGCCCGAUACUGACGCUGAGGCACGAAAGCGUGGGGAGCAAACAGGG
rnacentral:rRNA from 1 species